rnacentral:lncRNA from 1 species
CCAGAUAAGUCAUUUAGGUGCUCUGAGCCCCAGCUUCUUAACUGUACAUGAGAGAAUUUUGUUAGAUUGUUUUAAGGUCUCUCCCAACUCUGAAAAUCAAUGAAGUUACCAAUCUCUAUAAUUUACUGUAUCAAGCUACUCUUUUCCCUGCAGAGUCCAGCGUGAACAUUUAGACACUUAUUUCAAAUUUAUCUGUGUUGAUUUGGACAGGAAAGAGGAG